UCAUUACCUUGGGGCCGAGUCUCGGCUGUUUUCAACACAGCAAAAUUAUAACACGAGCGGCGACGGCACUCGUUAGCAGCCUUGUCAAUCAUCGGAGCGGGCAGGGGGAGAAGCAAUCGGCGCCGGGGUCAGCGAUGAAGAUGUACAUUCUCUAUUCAUCCAUCACAUCUUCCGGGAAAUCAAUUUACACCGCAUCAGCGUCACAGUGCCUCAACAACAGCGGUGAUAUGAAAGAGGAGGGAAACAACUUCUGAGAGAAAGACAGAGGAGAGUGGUAGAUUCGUUUAGAUACAAUCUAAUAAACGUCAGUCAUCUUGUGUUUUUUUUUCCCUCUGUCACCCCCAGGUGUCAGCUUCAUGGUUCAUUAACGGUGUUUGGUUUGGGGAAACCUGAAGAGAAAGAGGAUAAAAGACGAAAAAGACAGGUAGAGAUGGAAGGGACUCGGCGGCGAGGAAAGUAAUUGGCAACAUAAAUGAAACCUGGUGUCGCGCUGACACUGUCCACGUUAGUAGACUGCAGAUGAAAACGCCUUUGAACGGUAAUUCUGUGCUGGACAUGCAGGCUUUGAGAAAACCUGAAAUGUGAGAUUACGUUUCAAGCAAACAACCAGCAACAUGAAGGCACAGAAGCGCUAUUAUGGUGAGAGAAUGACAACUUGCAUAGGCAGAGAGCAGGAGGAGAGAGGAGGAAACACAAGAAAAGGAUGAAAAAAAAAAAGAGCUGAUGUAAAGAAGGCUGGGGAGAUUGGAAAGAGGCGGAGAUAGAAGUGAUGAGAGACUACAGUGAUGGGAUGUAUAUGUGUGUGUGUCUAUUGUAAAUCCAUGCGUGCAGGUUAUGCAAAUAAAAACACUUUGAUUCUCUGGCCUUAGA